rnacentral:rRNA from 1 species
GACGAACGCUGGCGGCGUGCUUAACACAUGCAAGUCGAGCGGGAGAAUUCGGUGCUUGCACCGAAGGAUCUAGCGGCGGACGGGUGAGUAACACGUGGGCAACCUGCCCUAAGGAGGGGAAUAACAGGCCGAAAGGUCUGCUAAUACCGCAUAAUAUCUAAGCUUCGCAUGGAGUUUAGAUUAAAGAUUUAUCGCCUUAGGAUGGGCGCCGCGGCGCAUUAGCUAGUUGGUAAGGUAACGGCUUACCAAGGCGACGAUGCGGAGCCGACCUGGGAGGGUGAUCGGCCACAUUGGGACUGAGACACGGCCCAGACUCCUAGGGGAGGCAGCAGUGGGGAAUAGUGCACAAUGGGGGAAACCCUGAUGCAGCAACGCCGCGUGAGCGAUGAAGGCCUUCGGGUUGUAAAGCUCUGUCUUCGCUGAAGAAUUUUGACGGUAAGCGAGGAGGAAGCCACGGCUAACUACGUGCCAGCCGCCGCGGUAAUAC